CAGUUGUAUCCCAUAAGGAGAGUCACAAUAUGAAAGACUAAGGAUGGUUCGAAGGAUUCCUUGUUGAUACACCCAUCUUCAGGAUAAAGCAUCAGCCUAAAUGGAAGAUCCAAAUGUGGUCAUAAUGGAAGAAAUGCAUUUUAAAAAAAAGCUGUUGUCACCAUUGGCUGCAGAAAGGAGUGACUGAGCGGAGAAUGAUGUAAACCACUGCUCCAAAAGGAAUACGAACUUUAAAAGAAUGAAUCAUUGUGUGUGACCUUAAGGAAAUGUGACCUACAUGUUUAUGAAUUCUGGAUUGCUUGAGUUGACCAAAGAAAAAUCACGGAGACUCAGGAAAGCUGCCGUUGUGAACAGUGAAAGUAUGUUUACAGAGCACAAAGUUUCAACAUCAUCGUUGAUAAGAUUUUGAUGUUAGCUACACAAUGGAGGUUGAAUCUGUGUCAGAAUAA